CUGCAGCACAGCAAGCCCCGCAGCAACUCCCACACAACCCAUCUCCAGACAAGCCUCUUGGUGGGAGCCAGAGUCCAUGUCCUCCGUCGUGGACGACCCUCAUCAGCCACCUUCACGCGAUCACCAGCCCCUUCCCACUUACUUCUAGGGGGUCCUUCAAACACUCUCGCCACCCACCUGCCCUAAUCGAUGUCACAGCAUCUCUUCAGAAAACAGAAUUGCAGUUGCUUUCAGGGACAGGUCCUUCAACAUCCCCCCUUCUCUUGUAACUCAGGUCUAAUUUUCCUUGUCCUGAGUUUCUGGCUGAGAAAUACUUCCAUCAACAUCCAGGGAGCCCCCAAAAAGAUUCUGGUUCAACCCCUUCAUUUUAUAAAUAAUGAAAUUGAGUCCCAAAGAGGUAAGAGAGCAAGUGAGUUUUUACCAAGGGAGCCAGGGCCAGAAUCCAGGCCUGCUGAUUCUCCUACGUAAGCAACGUAAGCCCCUCUUUCCUGGAUCCCCCCACAACCACACCACCAAGACCCACACCGCAUCCUUGGGCAACAUCAGCCCCCUAGCAGCAGGUGGCAGCUUCCGCGGUCCAUGUGGGCCAGGUGUACAACUACGGGGCCAAGGAGGAAAGAAUCACGUGACCUGACUCACCAUGGGCCUGGCCGCUGCUUCUGCCACGUAAACAAGUCCUGAGCCCUGGAGCCGAAACACACUGGGAACACCCCCUCCCCCAUCUCCAGCCACCAAAUUGCCUCAACCUCUCAAGACACAAAGCUCAGCCAAGCGUCAGACACAAGGUGACUUCUCCUCCCUGACCCUCUGCCUGUCCCUUCCCUAUCGCGAUAAUCUCGGAACCACGUGUUCUGCCAGGAGAGGCUGAGCUCAGAGUUCUGCCUCCUACAGGCACAUAUUUUACCAGUGACUCAGCAAAGACUUAACCCGAGUGUUCCCCUGUGCUUCGUGGACAGGAGAGGGGCACGGUGACCAGGCUGAGGUAGAGACGCCAGCUGGCGCCUGGUGAGGGUAGGAGACGGAAGGCCAAGAGCAGCCACGGCUAAUGGAAAAAACCCUAGUCUGCUGGUGACCGAAGACUUGACGUCUACCGCCACCUUGAUCGCUGACUCACCGCACGUUCCUGUCCAACACCCGCAGCCAUCCCCCACUGAUCGCUGCUAGAGGGGCUGAGAAUUGUCAAAUUCCUUGAAGGAAGAGACACGGGACUCUUCCAGACAGCCCUGGACUCCUCACUCAGCGAGGAUCCCUGGUCGCUCGCAGCCAACUCAGAGACUCGUCUCCAAUGGGAAGAAGAGAAGAUGAAACACCGAGAGGCAGAAUUUGCCAGUCUUCCCUGGACAGCGGUGGGAGAAGGCUGGGGCCGAGGACACAACACCCACAUCCCUGAGACACGAGCAGAGAAGUGGGACCCCACAGGAGCCCCUGAUAGGAGCCAAGGUACCCAGCACCAUUCCUUUUAUCUUUAGACUCCAGACAAAUCUGCUGUCAGCUAAUUCCAACCAGCCCUCCUUGUCCAGAACAUGGCAGAAAUCUACUUGAUAGGAGAGAGAUUUCCUGGUGACGAGGUGAGCGCCCACAGUCCACUUUCUGAACUGACUCUAUAAUGCGAGAGACCUGCCCAAUUCUGCAGGUCACUAUUACUGUGACCAGCACCAGGUGCGGCAGAGAAAAAAAACACCUCUGUGUCAACUGCCUAGAGAUACUUUGUAAUGGCUUACUGGUCCAGCGAUUUUUUUUUUUUUUUUAAGGCAAAGGCAAUCAGGGCCUAGAAGAAGUGAUUCACUCAAAAAAAAAAAAAAAAACCCAAAGUGGGGAAAGAACCCCAAAGUCCACUGCCCAGCCUACAGUCUAAACUCCAGACCAGAGCCCUAGACUAAGGCCCAGCAAGGCUAAAAGUAUCUAGAGUCAGAGAGAAUAGCCACUGGGACAACAUGGGGCAGAGAAUGCCUGAGCCCAAGGCAGGUGCCUGGCACCUCUGAGGGGUUAAACUCAGAAUCUCGCACCAAAUGCUGGGGGCCAAGGAGAGUUCCCAGUCAGUCACUGUGGGAGGCCCAAGUGCUCUCCAACUGCCACGCCCAGCAAUGCUCCCCAGCUUUCUCCCAGACAUCCUAGCAGCCCGAUCACUUCGGCUCGCUGCCCUUCCCCCAGGCAUUUGCUGGUUACUAACCCCAUUCACAGAAAAGCCAGGAGUAGGAGAAUGGAAAGAAGAGAGCAAUUGUUUGGAAGAUUCUGAAUGGAGAAGUUUCAGGAUUGCCCACUGAGUAAGGAAAAUGGUCUCUGUGGGAAGGGAAGGGGGUUGGGGUAAGGUCAGAAGGAGGUAGCCCACAUCUGACUUACCUGGGAGGCAGAGAAGGGGUUAAAUCCUAUUUUCCUUGCUGCAUCUGGUUUCCAAUAACCAGCCUGGUGAUGAUUCAUGACAAGACCAGGAUCAUGUCCUAUCAAGCAGCAUUUGCAGUCACAAAACCACAUAAACUGGUGGCUCAACGGCACCUAUGAGAGGGAGGAGGCAAAUAUCCAGCCCCCUCUACCCUAUACCACCAGCGUAACACGCUCAUUCACCACCCAACUCCUCCUGAGGAUGGCUGACCCUUUUCUGCCUGAUCUAAGCCAGAUUUCCAGAAACUCCCAACGGGAGUGAGGGCGGAGAACAGAUAGCUCCCGGAUGCCUGUAGCUGAGUUUGCCCUCAUAUAUCCUUAAAAAAUCAAAGGAAGGAGAAGGAAGAGGUGGAGGAAGGCAGGGAAGACAACAGGUCCAGAAGAAGGAAGAGAGAGGUCAAUAGACAUCCUUGGGCGAAGCAAGGCAGACAGGAAACCAAGAAGACAUACGGGGCUGGUCUUCACCGUAGGCCACACCGUGACUUCAGCCACACUGUGUGCCCCAGCCUCUCCUCCUCCAAACCCAAAAUCCAUCGAGAACCCUCAGCCCCUCCUGGCCCUCAUCCCACAUCAGUACCCUCAUCCACAUGACUUUUGAAUCUAUUGCCAUCUGAAAUAAGAGAAAGGAAAGCAAGCUUGGCAAGGCUGAACCAGACAUAGACGCACACACACGCACCCCUUCCCAGAAUGAAAGGCCCCUCAGAGACGGCUCACACUCUCGAGGUUCCGGCUCUCUGAUAGAAGUGCUCCUCUCCCACUGGGGAGGGCGGACACGGCCGAUAAGAAUUGCUUAGCACAAUGCUAUAUAUAGUCUAGGUUCCUACCGGCCUAGAGAUUUGGAGCUAGAACUUGGCAGAGAACCAUGCUAGAUGCUGGCAAGAACCAGCCUCCCCCAGGCAGCCAACUGUGAGCCUCACCUCCCUGCUGGGGCAGUGAGGGCAAGCAGGGUCCUCCCCCUCGGCCCAUUAACACCCUGCACUGAGGGACACUGGCUUUUGGCUCCGUUUUAGGAAAAAUCAACUGCUCCUGAAUGUGAGGGGGACGUGUGGGGACUGAACGCUGAGUUCUAGCCUCUCUGCAGCCCUCCAGCAGCACUAGAAAAUCGAUCUUGUCCUCUCUUAUGGAGGACCAAGGGCGGGGGUGGCAGGAAAAAAAAUGGAGAAGACACAGCAGCUGUCUGGGUUCGAUAAACAUCUAUCCACUUCCAGUGUUUGAAGGAAUAAAAGAACGCAAACGAAUACUUACUGCAGAGAACCAGGCUGCCAGGCGUCCCCUUUUUUUUGCUCCAAAUAAAUGCAAACGGGCCCUUCUAUCCGACAGUAUGACGCUGUCUUCUGCAUACCACCAUCCUCAGCUGAGCCUGAGUCUCCAGGAGGCUGUCACCUACUCAUGGAGCUGAAGUCCUCUGAGUUCUCUGUAGGGAAGAAGUGAAGGGAAGACAGGUGGGCUCAGCUCACAGGGCCAACCAAGCAAUGAAUUGUGUAGGCCCCAAUCAAGGUCGCAUCUGGGGUUAAUAUGUAGCCCUGGGACCAUGGCCCUCAGCUGCUGCUCACCAUCCAAUGACACAAGCAAGACAACACUGGGCCCAUCGUCCUGGAGAAAGGCCAGUACCAGUGGGCACAGGGGUCUCAUCAAGGAGGGCCUGUCCAUCACCUCUUUCAGAAAACAAACCUGAAGGACAACAGAGCUCUCUGCAGUACAGAACCUGGGCUCUCUCUAUGCACAGCUUCUGGACAAAGAAAUAUGAGAUGCAAAGGCUUCAACACCCACAUAUAUAUAAUUUUUUUAGGUCAAGUUGCUCUCUACUCAGGCUCAAAAAGACAUGAUGCAAAGGGCUGGGGGUGCCUUUGCACUCUGGGUGGGGACAGCUGGCUUCCAUCCCUUGCCCUGUCUAACUCUCUGCUGUGACCUGGGCCAGGUCUCCCUGCUCCCUUAGGCUCCCAAGACCCCAAAGCCAAUCCUUCCAGUGAUCCCAAAUGAGUCACCGCGGGAGGUCCUUGGGGAGAGGAUAGGGUGCUCAGUGACAAACGUCAGUGCUAGCAUCAUCUAUGGGAAAGCAUGAGACUGAAAAAUGGUACAUGGAGAAAGGAGGCCAGGAGCUUCCAGGCCAGGCUGUCCCUCAUUUCCCACGACAAGUUGUUUGCUUCUCUGCCCCCAAACACUGGCCAAGGGAGAGAGAGGAGAGAAAGAGAAGCCGUACGCUAGGGAUGAGGGUUUGGCCAUGAUGCAGUGGCAAUGGAGGCCCAUCUUCUCUCUUGCUCCCAAGAAGGCAUGGCGGGCUGGGCGGGGCCAGACGGGCGGGGCAGAGGGGGAUGUCACGCGCACGUAGCGCAAUGCUGCAGAUUCAAGAAAAGUCUAGAACCCUGAGCCGCCAUGAUGACACACACACGCAAAACGGUCAAGAACUCAAGGCCCACUAUUUCACCUAAGAGGGAAGGAAAGAAGAGCAGGAUAGACAAUAAGCUUUGAUUUGGGACAAUGAGGAAAGGCUGUCCAAGAGCUGGCCUUCAGUUUAAGGCCAGUGACGUGAAUCUACCAUCUUCACAUGAUGCCAGCAGAGGAAACCUAAAACGCCGUAUCCCCAUGACGGGCACUUGCUCCUGGGGUCCUGGAGGACCCGUGUUCACUAAGAACCACCAGGUCCACCCCUAUCCCAAGAAGGGACUCACCCUCUAUGCAAGGCAACAAGCCACAGCGAGAAAUCCCAAAGGGCUUUCUGGCCCUGGGAAGAUGUCUCUCCUUUGGGACCAGUGAGAGGAGCUCAAGAAGUGACCCUAUUUGCCAAGCUCAUCUAACAACACAAACAGCUGCAUUUUCCCUUCAGAUUCUAAAAUUCAAGAGUCCACCGAGCCAUGUUGAGUUACCUGGUGUCGCCCCCACCCUGAUGUCCAGCAGUGGCCUUCUUCUCUGCCAAGCUCUUCCUGAAAACGACCCCAGCCUAAGGGUCAGCUCCGAGCCCCGACAAGCUGUUUUUGCUGCUUUCAUGUUGACAGAACGUCCUGGCCACUCGGCUGAGCGCUCCAUCUCCCGGCUCCCGACACACUGAGUCAUCAUCCAAAGAGGAAAAAAACAACAAAGCAGCCGUCACCAGGGUCCCCACUGCCGUCGGCUGACGACUCACGGGCUGUCGUCACUCUCUGCUCUGCAGCCCCGGAAUUGGUGAUGAGGGGCUUCAGGGUGCCUGACUUCCCUCCCACGGGAUGCAAUAGCGUCAGGAAGCAGACAGCCACUGCUGAGGUUCGGAAGGAAGGGAAACUAACCUGGCAUCGAAAGGCUCCCAGGAAGGCUCACCGGUUAACCCUCACUCUGCCACCACCAGUUCUCACGGCUCUGUUCCCACGGCGUUUUCCUGAUGCAGAAGUUAAAGUGGUGUUUACUCCAGGUGGGGAAAGGCAUCACCUAGCAGGCUUCAGGUACGUACUGCCCCGUUACCUCCUGCCCUGCCCCUGCAUGUGGGAUCACUGAAAGCAAGCAAGCUCCCUUCUCCCUCAUUUCUUCUCGAGCCACCUGCUGUGUUUCUUUCUUAAGUUCUUGAUAAACAACUGGGCAGGGGGAAGGGAGCUGCAUCACUUUCUAAUGGGGAUCUAUUUGCUUGGCAACAUAUUAGGCAUUUCUGCGUAGUACAUUACAAUGGCUCCAUCUCACUGACUAAGGACACUAACACUUAGAAAAAUCAAAUGACCUGUCAAAUAAGACCACCCAGCUAAGAUGAGACAGGAUCAAGAUGCAAACCUAGGUCUGUCCAAAAGCAGUGUCUCUGCUCCCUGCCUUCCACAGUCUCCACUGACUUGGGGAUAGAGAGCUUAUUCUUCUCUGAAGAAGCUACAACCCACCCCACCCUCCGACUCCUCUUCUACGAGGAAGGUGACCAGGAUAACUAAAGUCUGUUAACCCAUCAAUUUCAGCCACCAAAAAAACCCAUCAUCUUGAGUGAACCUGGCUGUAAAGGAAGCGGAGAAAGGUCCCGAGGUAGCAGUGAGGGUGGCAUGGAACAGCUCAAUGACCCAGACCUUGAGCUCAAGAAGAUCGGCCACUCAAACUCCCACACGGCAUCAGGCACUUACAAAAUUCCUUAAAUAGACACGUUUUGGGGAUCUACCUCGUAAGAGGCAUUUUGCAGACACUGAGGACUGAGAAUGGAAAAAUGCAAAGGCUUUGAGAGCCCAGGGUUCUAAUCACGAUUGGAACACUCACCAGCCACGGGACUCUCCUCGCAGGGCGUGGUAAGGAAUAAGUGAAAUAACCGUCAUGAGAGAGCCUGCGUGGUACCUGCAAACAGGAGGCAGCAACUAGAAAGACAAGAUGGCCGCUGCACGCAGAAGGGCCUGGAGAGGAGAGGGAUGGGCAGCAGGGAGCGUCACUGGAGGACUACAGCUGGAACCAUGGCACUGGCAGGGGGCAUGAGGAGAAAGACAAGAAAAACGGUAAAAAGGCAGGGCCAUCCAGACAAAUCCUCGAAGCUGCCGUCGACCCCACCCCCGUCCCCGUGGGGAGACUGCCGGAGACACAGCCUACUUGGGGAACACAAACCACAGGUCUGACACAUCUGAGAGGAGCUGCCAUGUCUCUGCCUCCACUCUCCCCUCAAAACUCAGCUUUCCCCCAAACUGCUCUAAGCCUCAGGCUGAUGAGGGCAUGGGAGACCCAGGCCUUCGGGCAGCAACGUCCACGCUCUGGCAAAGCUGGGGCCCCAGGCAGUGGAACCCCCACCCAGGGCUGUGUCCGAGGGUGGGACUGGGCGGUCCUGCCCCUGGGGCCACCUCUACUGCGGCAGCCACCAGUGCGCCCGCCUCUGCUGCGCUUUUU
ensembl:lncRNA